rnacentral:sRNA from 2 species
AUUUCCAGCAGCUAGGGUUCCGGCCGGAACGGGUUCAAACCCCGACCGGUGUUACUGGUCCGAGAGCGGCGACCCGUCCGGUGAACAGCGGACGGGCACACGGCGGGACAAAAGCCCGGGAGGU